CUAUCUCAGUUCGGAUUGGAGGCUGAAACUCGCCUCCAUGAAGUUGGAUUCGCUAGUAAUCGCGCAUCAGCCAUGGCGCGGUGAAUACGUUCCCGGGCCUUGUACACACCGCCCGUCAAGCCAUGGGAGUUGGGGGUGCCUGAAGUUCGUGACCGCAAGGAGCGACCUAGGGCAAAACUAAUGACUGGGGCUAAGUCGUAACAAGGUAAC
rnacentral:rRNA from 1 species